rnacentral:rRNA from 1 species
GUAUGAAAGGAUAAACAUUUAUAUUCUAUAAUUUUAAUUUAAUUUUAAACUAUACUAAAGAUUAAAAUAUCUUUAUUAAAAAGGAAGACGACAAGACCCUAAAGAACUUAACUAAAAGAUUAACUGGGGAAGUUAUAUAAACAUAAUUUAUUAUUAAAAAUUCCAAUUUAAGCUUUUAAGAAUUUAAACAAAGUUACCAUAGGGAUAACAGCGCAAUUUAUAUCUCAAGAUCCUAUAAAAAUAUAAACUUAUGACCUCGAUGUUGAAUUAA